AGCCGCCACGGUAAUACGUGGGUGGCAAGCGUUGUCCGGAAUUAUUGGGCGUAAAGGGCUCGCAGGCGGUUUCUUAAGUCUGAUGUGAAAGCCCCCGGCUCAACCGGGGAGGGUCAUUGGAAACUGGGAAACUUGAGUGCAGAAGAGGAGAGUGGAAUUCCACGUGUAGCGGUGAAAUGCGUAGAGAUGUGGAGGAACACCAGUGGCGAAGGCGACUCUCUGGUCUGUAACUGACGCUGAGGAGCGAAAGCGUGGGGAGCGAACAGGAUUAGAUACCCCUGUAGUCCCUGUCUCUUAUACA
rnacentral:rRNA from 1 species